CAAUAGCGUAUAUUAAAGUUGUUGCGGUUAAAAAGCUCGUAGUUGGAUUUCUGCCGAGGACGACCGGUCCGCCCAUUGGGUGAGUAUCUGGUUCGGCCUGGGCAUCUUCUUGGAGAACGUAGCUGCACUUGACUGUGUGGUGCGGUAUCCAGGACUUUUACUUUGAGGAAAUUAGAGUGUUUCAAGCAGGCUUACGCCUUGAAUACAUUAGCAUGGAAUAAUAAUAUAGGACCUCGGUUCUAUUUUGUUGGUUUCUAGAGCUGAGGUAAUGAUUAAUAGGGAUAGUUGGGGGCAUUCGUAUUUAACUGUCAGAGGUGAAAUUCUUGGAUUUGUUAAAGACGGACUACUGCGAANGNAUUUGGNAAGGAUGUUUNCAUUG
rnacentral:rRNA from 1 species